rnacentral:lncRNA from 1 species
UAGACAACAUGAAUAACUAAUUCAAUCAAAGUAAUACUCAAAACUAAUAUUGAACAAGCAACUGAUCAUUAAUUCAAUGUAUCAUAUUUAGAUAUUAUACACUUAAUUACAAAUCCUAUUCAACCUGAAAUCAAUCUACACCUUAAAAAAGAAAUAAGAAAUAACUACCGGUGAAAAUCAUAAACAUUUGUUCAUUGAUGAAUUCAUGAAAAAGUUAAUUCCAAUUAAAAACACGAUAUCCUUCAAACAAAAACAAGUUUUAAUGCAUUAAUUCAAUUAACACAUAUUGUACAUAAACCUUUCAAAAUUCAUCAAGUAAAAAAUAAUUAAAGUGGAAAUUAAAAGAUAAGGGAAAAUAAUACAUCAGAUUUAUAGUGGUUCCACCAAUCAUCCUCACUUUGGGGUACGUCUACUCUUCAUAGAAAAAUCAAUGACCGUCCACUUUGAAUGAAUCUUUGCACUAUGCGCUACAAUGUUUGAUUACAAUCAAUUAACGAAUCUUGUCAUUCUUUAAACCAAAAGAUGACCAAUGCCCUAAACUAAUGGUAGCAAGAUCACCUCUAACUUUAUCCAAAUUUGAAAUCCACAAACUUGAUGCUAGAUGAAAAUCAUCUUAUGUUAUUUUUUAGUCAUUUGUAUUCAGUUUUGAUCCAAGAUGAAGGAGUUUUAGAACAAUUGCGUAUGAUUUUCCUGAAACCAAGCAGUUCUAGGGUGUUUAUGAUGUAAUUCAAGGCAAAAUCAUGCAAAUCGGUAAAGCAAAGCAUCUUGUGACGAAUUACGAAGACAAUAAAUCAAGAUUUAAGAGGUCUCUGAAGACAUUACAAGAAGGAGAAAUUCUAUUACAAGUCUCAAGACAAGUUAUAUGGAAGAAAACACCCAAAGGACAAAGAAACACAUGAUUAAACGUGAAAAGGAGUGUUGGACGUCCCCGAGUGUGUCCUCUAUUCCUAAGAAUUUUAGGCAUUGUUUGUGAGGCUUCAAUGUGAUCUUAUCACAUGUGCACGAGUUUGAAUACAAUGUUAUUUUCUUUCAUGACAGUGACAAUUCCUAUGGCGCAACAACUCUCUUCUAUUAUUAUAUUUGGUCACUUCAUUAUUAUAUUUUCUAUUCAUAUUUUCAAAACUUAUUAUGUUACAUUAAAAAAAAAAAUCUAUUCUACAGAUAAAAUAAUUAAAAAUAUGAAAUUGUGGAAAGUCACUAGAUUUAUAUGGAAUCUAAAUUCUCCGUGAGAAUACAAUAACAUAAAAUAAAGACUAGUAAGACAUAUUGAAGGCUUUGUACAAUUUUGUACAUGAUUAUUGAUAAUUAACAAGACAUUUUGAAAAUGUGAACAUAUUGGAAGGAUUGAGGAAGAUGAGGUAACAUAGAUUUCCUUUUUUCAGCACAUCAAAGGAAUGAGAGGCAAUGAUCUAAUAGUACUUGAUCAUGUGAGAUGAUUUGAUAAUUAAUUAACAUUGUUUGAUUAAAAGAAUAUGGACGGAUGUGAUUUGGAGUAACUCAAAAGAGUUACUCUUGAAGUCAAUAUAUCCCUACUCCUCAUAUGUAUAUAUUGUGGUUGCUAAUUUACACCCACCCCAAAACACCAAGGUGCAAAUUAGCAAGUUACAUCCACCUGCUUUCUACGAAAACGUCCAAUUUUUAGUUUUUUAUAUCGCUUGAAGUUAAAGGCUAGUUUUGACAAUUUAACUAAAUUUUCAAAACAAAAAAAAAAAACUCACGUAACUGUUUCUUCUUUUGAUAAUGGCGGAAUAGGUUGUUGCGCUUCCAUCCUUGUACCGUUAUACGAUCAAGAAAUAUUUAAUUAACAACACAAACAUGAUUUCCUUUAAAAUAGAAGCUUCAUUUUUUAUGAGAAAAAAAAGUUUCAGUAGAUUUAAUAGUGAAAAAAAUAGUUUCAAUUCCGUGAAAACAUGUGGAAAAGAUGAUGAGACACACUUUUAAGGAAACAAUAUUUGAAAUGAUAAAGUGAGUGUAAAUUAGUGAGGUGAGUGUAAACAAUUUGAUAAAACUUAUAAACAUGAGUGUAAAUAAUCAAGUGGAUGUCAGUUGCUAACUUGCACCUUAUUAUUUUAGGGUGUGUGUAAGUUAUUAACCCCCAUAUAUAUAUAUAUAUAUUAUUUCAACUACACAUACCAUCCAUCGAGUCAAAGAAAAACUAUACAUACAAUUUUAUAUUGUUAUUUUAAUUUAACUCAUUGUUUAUGACAAUACCAUACUUACAUUCAAGCAUAAAAAAUAAUAUUUUAUGUCCAUAGUGACCUCAACAUUCACGUAUAUAUAAAAUUACAUUUAAUGCAUAAUAAUAUGUAUGUAGUAUUAUUAAUUAGUUAUAUAGGGUUUAAGAAAGAUUUAAAUUGUAUUCAACUAUAUUUACUCUUUUAUUUAUUGUAGUUUGACUCAUAUUUACUCUUUUAUAUAUUUCUAUAAUAAUUUUGAUUACAUGCUUAUUUUUCAUACAUUGCUAAAAAAAAGAUUUAGUUUUGGUUCACCAAUGUCUAUAUAAACAUGGGUCUAAAAAAAAUUAUUUUAAGAAAAAGAUGGAAUCUACAAGAAAAUUUUCUCUAACAAUGGUAUUCUUAUUAGCUUUUUUAAUCAUAGCAUCAAGUCUAAAACCGACAGGUGCUUUGUGUAGAUAUUAUAAUUUUUGUCUCCUCUUAUAUUUUAUCAUUCAAAUCUUAAAUGUUUUGAGAACAAUAUUAUUAUGUCUAAGUAUUAUUUGUCUACACAGAUAUUCGUAUGGAAUCACAAGGUAGGAGAAUGGCUCAUGGGGUCGUCCCACCAAGUUGUAAAUCAGAUGGAGAUUGUAAGAACUAUAAAUGUCCACCUUCAUUACCAUUUCCAUAUUGUGAUCAUGACAAGUGUGGCUGUGGUAACUGAUCUACACCAACGUCAACCAAUAAAAUCUCUAGUCCAAGACCAUCAUUUACCAACUAGGUAAUGGAUUAUACGGAAAAAUCAUCUUGUUUGGAUGGUAAUAAUUUAUAAAAUAUGAACUUGAAGAGGUUAUCAAAUCUUAUAUUGUAUUAUAAUCUUACAAAAAUGAAAUAAAAAUGUUGGCUACUUUUAAUUUUAAUUAGUUUAGUAAAAUUUAUAUUACGGUUUACUCACUUUAGAUGAUCCAAAUCCUUGAAUUUGAUAGCUAUAUUCCAUUUUAAUAAUUUUUCUCUCACCUUCCUGGCUUCACGUGCAGCCUCCAAUUUGACAAAAAUACUUAUGUUUAGAUUAUAUAAUUCAGACACCUUUUGUAGAAUUUCGGAUUAUAUAAUCAGGUCAAAACUCAUAAAACAAAUUAUAAUUGAUACGAAGGUCUAUGUUGGCCAUCAUACCAUCUUCAUAAUAAAUACACAACAAUUUUACGGAUGGUAUGAAUGGUUAACAAUGACCGUGAUAUCUUAACGCACUCCCAAAUUAAAAUUCAGAAGAAAAAAAAAUAAAGAAUAAACGAAGAGGAGACUUACAAUAAAAAUGGAGAAGAAUGCAAAUCAUAAAUUGUGAUUAUAGUUAAAAAGAAACGUUUAAAAUGAUAUAACUUACCAAAACUGCAUUAAAUACAUCACGAACCUUCCAAACAUUGCUUGUAGUACCAAAAUCCGCAUUCUGGACAAAUUCGAAUUAUAAAAAUUGAUCCUUUCCAAGUUGUUUUAGAUAAUAUUUUCUAAAACCUUUCAGACUGUGUUAGAACUUGUGGUUUGGAAGGUUUGAAAGAGUUCGAAUUAUAUAUUUUGAACUAUGUCAUGAACAUAACAUGUUUAAAAACUAUCAUUAAAUCAAAUUCUACAACAACAACAUACAUUAAACAUAACAAUUUUAACAACAUAAUUCAACAACCUAAAACAAAAAAGUAAAACACAAACAAGAUCAUCGAUCACCCAAGCUAAAUUCUUCAAAUAUCUUCGUAUGUCUUAUGCCGAAUCAAAUUUUUCUAAAUAUCAUGAAAAUAUCUAACCAAGGAAUGGUAUAACUCGACUGGUCCCUGUGAAUUACGCAGAUCAAAUACAGAAAACAUAAUUCUCACAUCAUUGUUGUUACUGAGAUUCAUUUGGUUAAACUGAGCGAUUCCAUCUAAGUCGAUUGACGGACGACGAUAAUUAAGCUAUCCACCUUCCUUGUGUCUACGUGGUUGAGUUGACCGUUUAUUUGGUCCAACUGAUCCUUCAAGCCAGCUGAUACUGUGACAUAAAUAUGACCCUAAACAUAUUAGAAUUUCCUCGGUUGUAGUAAACAACAACUAGUUGUUGGUUUAUAAGUUACGGAUCUAAGAGGUUAGUAGAUUCGCUUAAAAACUUUGCGGACAGAAUCAUGGUUUUUCAACAAAAAAUAAAUAGAAGAAAUAGUUUGACUAUUGGAAUUGCGACAUAGACAACAUGAAUAACUAAUUCAAUCAAAGUAAUACUCAAAAUUAAUAUUGAACAAGCAACUGAUCAUUAAUUCAAUGUAUCAUAUUUAGAUAUUAUACACUUAAUUACAAAUCCUAUUCAACGUGAAGUCAAUCUACAUCUUAAAAAAGAAAUAAGAAAUAACUACCGGUGAAAAUCAUAAACAUUUGUUCAUUGAUGAAUUCAUGAAAAAGUUAAUUCCAAUUAAAAACACGAUAUCCUUCAAACAAAAACAAGUUUUAAUGCAUUAAUUCAAUUAACACAUAUUGUACAUAAACCUUUCAAAAUUCAUCAAGUAAAAAAUAAUUAAAGUGGAAAUUAAAAGAUAAGGGAAAAUAAUACAUCAGAUUUAUAGUGGUUCCACCAAUCAUCCUCACUUUGGGGUACGUCUACUCUUCAUAGAAAAAUCAAUGACCGUCCACUUUGAAUGAAUCUUUGCACUAUGCGCUACAAUGUUUGAUUACAAUCAAUUAACGAAUCUUGUCAUUCUUUAAACCAAAAGAUGACCAAUGCCCUAAACUAAUGGUAGCAAGAUCACCUCUAACUUUAUCCAAAUUUGAAAUCCACAAACUUGAUGCUAGAUGAAAAUCAUCUUAUGUUAUUUUUUAGUCAUUUGUAUUCAGUUUUGAUCCAAGAUGAAGGAGUUUUAGAACAAUUGCGUAUGAUUUUCCUGAAACCAAGCAGUUCUAGGGUGUUUAUGAUGUAAUUCAAGGCAAAAUCAUGCAAAUCGGUAAAGCAAAGCAUCUUGUGACGAAUUACGAAGACAAUAAAUCAAGAUUUAAGAGGUCUCUGAAGACAUUACAAGAAGGAGAAAUUCUAUUACAAGUCUCAAGACAAGUUAUAUGGAAGAAAACACCCAAAGGACAAAGAAACACAUGAUUAAACGUGAAAAGGAGUGUUGGACGUCCCCGAG